rnacentral:rRNA from 1 species
GAACGGCAGCAUGGCGUGUAGCAAUACAUGCUGAUGGCGAGUGGCGGACGGGUGAGAAACGCGUAGGAACCUGCCCUUGAGAGUGGGACAACCCGAGGAAACUCGGGCUAAUACCGCAUGAUCUCGAAAGAGCAAAGGCUGGGUAGCAAUACCUGGAGCUUGAGGAGGGGCCUGCGUCCGAUUAGCUAGUUGGUUAGGUAAAAGCUGACCAAGGCGAUGAUCGGUAGCUGGUCUGAGAGGAUGAUCAGCCACACUGGGACUGAGACACGGCCCAGACUCCUACGGGAGGCAGCAGUGGGGAAUAUUGGACAAUGGGGGCAACCCUGAUCCAGCAAUGCCGCGUGUGUGAAGAAGGCCUUCGGGUUGUAAAGCACUUUAGGCUGGGAGGAAGGCGUGGGGUUUAAGAGAUCCCAUGAUUGACUGUACCAGAAGAAUAAGCACCGGCUAACUCUGUG